rnacentral:rRNA from 1 species
GGGCCCGCACAAGCGGUGGAGCAUGUGGUUUAAUUCGACGCAACGCGCAGAACCUUACCAGCCCUUGACAUGUCCGGGACCGGUCGCAGAGACGUGACCUUCUCUUCGGAGCCCGGAACACAGGUGCUGCAUGGCUGUCGUCAGCUCGUGUCGUGAGAUGUUGGGUUAAGUCCCGCAACGAGCGCAACCCCCGUCCUUAGUUGCUACCAUUUAGUUGAGCACUCUAAGGAGACUGCCGGUGAUAAGCCGCGAGGAAGGUGGGGAUGACGUCAAGUCCUCAUGGCCCUUACGGGCUGGGCUACACACGUGCUACAAUGGCGGUGACAAUGGGAUGCUAAGGGGCGACCCUUCGCAAAUCUCAAAAAGCCGUCUCAGUUCGGAUUGGGCUCUGCAACUCGAGCCCAUGAAGUUGGAAUCGCUAGUAAUCGUGGAUCAGCACGCCACGGUGAAUACGUUCCCGGGCCUU